GAACACCAUCAGAGCACUCCUGACAUAUGGUUGUUAAGCAGAGGCUUGACAACCAUAUGUCAGGAGUGCUCUGAUGGUGUUU